AUUUAAUGACACACAUUUGGUUUUCUAAUAAAUUAUCUGUACUUAAUUUAAUGGAAUUUCUCCAAAUUUCUAAAAAUGACUCUCUAAGUAAUUUCAGUGCAUUCAGCUCAUCAUUACUUAAAAAGAAAUUUUCAACGCUAAUGGGUUUAUAACUUACAGAUAUAUUUUUUACUUCGAGACUCGAAUUAUCAUGCGAACUAAUUGAUGGAUUUGCUUCAUUGAUAGAAAAUAUAACGCGUUCACUACUUAGUUCAUUAAUAUAAAUAGCUUCUGGAGAAUCCUUUUGGGCAUUGACAACUUGUUGAACAAUGGUAUGGAAAAUUAGCCUAUCAAUUAAUGCCCAGUGAACUCUAUGAAGAGUUGAAUGUAUCUGUUUUGCAAGUGCGCUUUUUAUGCAAGAUGGGAAGUCAACUUGAGGAAGAGUACUGGAAGUUACGUUUUUAGAUUCUGAAUCACUUGGUUUAGUUUUAACAUAAAGUUGAUAAUUAUUGUUGAUCAAAUAAGAAGUAAAUUCUGGGAGUUUUAAAGAAGCACGAAGGUUAUAUUUUCCGCCGUAAGGAUUAAAUUUAUUCUUGCUGAAAGUUAGUGUGACAAGUACAUCGUUGAACAAGCAAUUAUUAUCUAUUUGUGCCAUUGGCCUUGAUACAAAACUUCCUUGUUUGAAGAAAACAUUUUCAAGAGGUAGUUGCAGGCAUAUUACACUUGACAAUUUAUUUUCACGAUUAUAGAGACACUGAGAUUCAUUUUUGGCCUGGGAAUUUAUACUAAUUUUCCAAAUAGGUAAUAGUUCAUUCAAUGUACUAAGGGCACAUUUGUGAGUAAUAAUAUGAUCUGGUAUCCUCAGAAUUUCAUUAUUGAUUUUUUCAAUAAAAGGUCUUAGUAUAUAUAACCUUCUAUAUAAUGAAAUGAGCAAUUCACCUUUUGAUGCCUCAUUAAUUCGAAGCGACCUUGUGGUUAUGUUAUCAAUACUUGAGGCCAUGUUAUAUGAUUGCGAGAUAUUAAUAUAUUGUAUGUUGUCAAAAUAGUUUUUUUGUAUGCAAAAAAUGAUAUUCGUUAGGCUGUCUAGGUUCUUCAAGACAUUAAUAUAGUACUUAUUAACUAAGUCCCACUUUGCAUUAUUUAAGUAAUUCUUCGCACCUAUCGUUGUAUUUUCCAUUUCUCUAUUAGACGUUGAAAUAUAAAACUUCUCUGCAUUCGAUGAAAAACUACCUACUUCAUCUGAGAAUAUCGGAAGGCCGUCAUUUAGUAUCCG
rnacentral:antisense_RNA from 1 species